CAAGGAUGGCGCCCAGUGGAAGGGGACCCGCCGCCGCUGACCAUGUGGACCAAGGAUGGCCGCACCAUCCACAGCGGCUGGAGCCGCUUCCGCGUGCUGCCGCAGGGGCUGAAGGUGAAGCAGGUGGAGCGGGAGGAUGCCGGCGUGUACGUGUGCAAGGCCACCAACGGCUUCGGCAGCCUAAGCGUCAACUACACCCUCGUCGUGCUGGGUUAGUCGCUGCUGCGGUCAGAGGUCAUGGGCUGGGUUGGAGCCAGGCAGGGGCGUGCAGGAGGGCGGACGGGGACACACCUGGGGCAGCCAGCCCCGGGCAGAAAGCCUUGCUUCGGCGUCCUGCCCCACCUCAGCUGGCUGCACCUCUGCUACCAUCCCCCAGGUGUCCUGUCCCGUUCCUGUCCCCGUCAGGCUCCAGCCUCAGGGCCUUCCUCCCUGGAGGGCGGGAGCCGCAGGCAGUGGUCCCACAGAAGGGCUGGGGCCCGAGGCCUUGGCAGGGUGUGCCGGCCGUCGGCUGUGACUUUGAGGCUCGGGUUUCGGAGUUCAGAGGAGCCGCCGGGAUGCGUGGCCUUUCUGUUCUCUUCUGUGCCUGGGGCCCGGGCGCUGGGCUUGGACAGGUGUCCAGAGAGACACGCCCUCCAUACCUAGGGACCCGGCACCCCGCCUGCUCCGCUGGGCUCCUGGGUGUGGGGCCCUCGGGUGGAGCUCCUGGGAGCUGGGCUGGCCCGUUUCUUUUUUUUUUUUAAUUCUACUUUAAGUUUUAGGGUACAUGUGCCUGU
rnacentral:lncRNA from 1 species